rnacentral:lncRNA from 1 species
UCCAUUGCCGACCGUCAUCAACCGCCACAGCCGCCAACAUCUACACCGCGCUCACCAUCUCCAGCCGCGCGUUCUUCCUCACCAUCUGUCGUCCACCGAAUCGCCGGCAAAACCUCUCAACAUAACCGCUCAACACCCUUCUUCUCCACUUCGACCGUCGAAAUACUCCUCCGAUUCACCUCACAUCUUCCAUCACUUUAACAAGCGUAAUCUCACCGUGAGCAACUCCACUCAGCCGCUCCUUUCCUUCAACAGAAGCUAAAGUCAUCUUCUCCAAUUCAACACUGUUUUUUUGUUUUGCUUUCAAAAUUGGGAAGGUUAUAUUUUCUAUUCUGCUUGGGUGUUAUCUCUUUUCUGCAGGUUGAGUUUAAUUUACUAACCUGAUCGGGAUACCGCAAGGAUGUGAUUCAAUUAGAUGUCGCGAUGUACACGUUUCAGUUAUGAUUUGUUCCUCUUUGGAUCGCCGCUUCGGUUACGGUACCGAGUUUCUUACAUUUCUCAUAAUUCAUAUAUAUCUUGUGAUAAGCUAAAAGUUGUGAUUGAAUUACAAAGUCAAAAUUUGUGCAGAAUGAGCAUCCUGCUGCUGUGGAACAAUAGAAAUAUUUUGUUUUAAUUUUAGUAUAUAUUUUAAAAUUGGCUCUGCACUAUUACUGUUAAAUAUGUGCAGAAUGAAGUUCCAUCCCUGUUUUAAAAGUGAUCAAACCAACAUAUAAAACAUUGUUAAAUUAAUGAAACAUUUUCUUAUGAAUUUUUUAACUAUAAGAGAAAUAGUUCAUAGUCACGAUCGAUCGGUGAGGUCGCCGAAAUAUCAUUGUUUUCCUUUGAUAAAAUGUUGAUGUUGCUGCUCCGAAUGAGUCUGAGUUGUCGUCUACGGCACUAGUUGUUUUUUUGGAUCAGUGAUGACAUAUCCAUUGUUACGGUACAAAUCAAUUUAAAUUUGUGGCAUAACGUUGAAUCUUUCAUUUUCAUAACAGUACUGGAUAUAUUUGGGAUAGGUUGUGUUUGGGGUAAUUUUUCGGUUCCAUCUUAGAUAUGUAUUCAUUUUGCUUUGAACUCUGCAUUGCUUAUGUUAGUUAUCCUUUUGUAGCAG